AUAUGUAUGUAUACGUCCAUAUGUGUCAUUUCGUUCACUUUACAAAUGGCAGGUGAUAACAAUUAGACGUAAUAUUAGGUUAUCGAGGCUUGUCAAAUAUUAAUUGUCUUGCCAUCGAUAAAUCAUGACAUCCAUCAGCGAAGUCGAUGCGGUGCCUAAAUCGAAGAAACCAUCGGAUAGCGCAUUCAAACAGCAACGAUUACCAGCUUGGCAACCAAUACUUACAGCUGGCACAGUUCUACCGACGUUUUUUGUAAUAGGAGUCGCAUUUAUUCCAGUCGGUAUAGGAUUACUUUAUUUUUCUGACGAAGUCAAGGAACAGACUAUAGAUUAUACUAAUUGUAAUGCCACCAAUUUCACUGAAAGCAAUGGACAGCCUAUAAAAUGUGCAGAUGUAAUUGCAGCAUACCCCAAACAAAACUGUUGGUGCGAAAUAAAUUUUACACUACCUGUAGAUUUUGUUGGCAAAGUUUAUAUGUAUUAUGGUUUGACAAACUUCUACCAGAAUCAUCGUAGAUAUGUAAAAUCUCGAGAUGACAAUCAAUUGUUAGGAAAAUUGAACGAUAUUGUUUCGAGUGAUUGUGAACCAUUUGCCUAUGAAGAAGUAAACGAUACUAAAAUUCCUAUUGCCCCAUGUGGAGCUAUCGCAAAUUCACUUUUUAGCGAUGAACUUAUGCUAUUUUCUGCAAAGCACAAUAAAUCUGUACCAUUAUUAAAAACUGGUAUAGCUUGGCCAUCUGAUAAAAAUAUCAAAUUUAGAAAUCCUGAAGGGAAUUUAACAGAAGCAUUUAAAAACUUUAGAAAGCCUAAGAACUGGACUAAAAAUAUUUAUGAAUUGGAUGAACAAGAUAAAGAUAAUAAUGGGUUUCAAAAUGAGGAUUUAAUUGUAUGGAUGAGAACUGCUGCAUUACCUACUUUUAGAAAACUCUACCGUAGAGUUGAUCAUACUAAAAAUGGAUUCAUCGGUGGUCUACUUGCAGGAAAUUACACUCUUACUGUCAAAUACUCAUUUUCAGUAUCUGCUUUCCAUGGCAAGAAAAAGAUGAUUUUAAGCACAACUUCACUUUUGGGAGGAAAAAAUCCUUUCCUUGGCAUUGCUUAUAUUGUUGUGGGAAGUUUAUGCUUAUUAUUGGGCGUAGCAUUGCUCAUUAUACAUAUUAAAUGUUCCAAGAGCAAACUAAUGUAAAGACGACUACAAGAAAGUAUACUUAGGGCACCGUAUAUGUUCUUAUUAAGGAAUAAAAACACAAUGCCUAUCUGUGUAUCGAAAAAUUGUGAUAUAAAUAAUUUCCAUCAAGAAAGUCCCGCCGACAUGAUCAAUGUGACUCCAGCUACGGAAUAUCAUUAGGAAUGAUUCCUCUAAUCUGAAACGAGCAUAACUUUAUCAAUAUGGAAAUUAUUGGCUAUCAUACAUUAUUUUAAGACGAGCGAUUCUUUUCUAUUUAACAAUAUUUAUUUUCGUUUAAUUGUCAUAAACGAAAAUAUGGAUGAAUACGGUAAAGCAAUCAACAAAUCAAAACUGUCUUAUUUAUUUAAAAGAUAGUUAUCCUUUAACAUUUGUUAACCAAGUUUCAGUAUUGUUAUAUAAUGUAGAAUAUAAUUGAAUAUUUAUGUAAUUACAUUAUAUAUUCUUGGAACUAUAUAUACAAAUCACAAAUUUAAAAUACAGAUUUAGUUAAAGAUUUUUGAAACUUAAUUGACAAUCAAUUGUCUAUUGUUAAGUAUUGUUAAUAUUUAAUUGAGUUAAUCCUUAUGAAGCAUUACAAAGUAAACAGAAGUAUUAUACAAAUGACUGUAUAAUACUAAAACAAAAUACUAAUAUUAAAAUAUUAUUCUAUUUGCGAAAUAGUAAACUUUUAUAAAAUAUUCUUUUACAUUUAAAAAAAAAGCACUUUUUGCUUGAUACAUUUGUUGAUGCACGUUUAUUCUAUUUGUGUCUUAAUAUAAUUAUAAAAUAUUUACUUCAAAUUUUAAAUCUUGAAAAUAUAAAGAUAUAGAAAUUGAAAUUAUAUUAAAUAUAUUUGUGUAAAUGGUUUUUUUCAUGUAAUACAACCCUAUAAAAUAGGUUUUUAUUUUUCAACAGCAUUUUAUUUGCUUAAUUUUCAUGCACACAGAUGCAAAAAUAAUUUUAAUACAAUCUGAUCAGAAAAAUAAAUAUCCUUAAAAAAUUUAUAAAUAUACAAAAGCUUCAAACUGUUGCAUUGCAUGAACAAGAUCAUUGAUGCUGUUACUCGAAAAUUAAUAUUUAUUAUUUUUAUAGUCUCUAAAUGUUUUGAAAAAAAAAAAAAAAAAAAUAUAUAUAUAUAUAUAUAUAUAUAUAUAUAUAUAUAUAUAUAUAGAAUAUAUUGCGCGCAUUUCCAGAAAUUAUUUGCGCUACUGUAAAAAGUGU